rnacentral:rRNA from 2 species
UGGGACAGAUGAUUAGGGUGAAGUCGUAACAAGGUAGCCGUAGGAGAACCUGCGGCUGGAUCACCUCCUUUCUAAGGAAUA